UACAGAGGGGGCAAGCGUUGUUCGGAAUUACUGGGCGUAAAGCGCGCGUAGGCGGCUUUGUAAGUUAGAGGUGAAAGCCCGGGGCUCAACUCCGGAACUGCCUUUAAGACUGCAUCGCUUGAAUCCGGGAGAGGUGAGUGGAAUUCCGAGUGUAGAGGUGAAAUUCGUAGAUAUUCGGAAGAACACCAGUGGCGAAGGCGGCUCACUGGACCGGCAUUGACGCUGAGGUGCGAAAGCGUGGGGAGCAAACAGG
rnacentral:rRNA from 1 species